UUGAGCCGUACGAGAUGAAAUUCUCAUAUACGGUUCUCAGAGGGGGAGUACCAGUACCUCAGUUUACCUAUCUCAAU
rnacentral:ncRNA from 1 species